rnacentral:sRNA from 1 species
ACCCUCGUUAUGGUGAUGGAGCAGGAAACUGCCCUAAAUCUAUCCUUUGGAUAUUUAGUCACACCUAAAGCGAGGGUUU